rnacentral:rRNA from 1 species
GCCCUUAGAGUUUGAUCAUGGCUCAGGACGAACGCUGGCGGCGGGCCUAACACAUGCAAGUCUUACGGGAAAGCACCUUCGGGUGCGAGUAUAGUGGCGGACGGGUGAGUAACGCGUAUGCAACCUGCCCUUGAGCGGGGGACAGUCACGGGAAACUGUGGUUAAUACCGCAUAAAAUCUUGGUCGCGCCUGCGACCGAGAUCAAAGCCUUCGGGCGCUCUUGGAUGGGCAUGCGUCGGAUUAGCUCGCUGGUGAGGUAACGGCUCACCAAGGCAAUAAUCCGUAGCUGGUCUGAGAGGAUGAUCAGCCACACUGGCACUGAGACACGGGCCAGACUCCUACGGGAGGCAGCAGUGGGGAAUCUUGCACAAUGGAGGCAACUCUGAUGCAGCCACGCCGCGUGGAGGAGGACACCCCUGUGGGGCGUAAACUCCUUUUCUGCCGGAAGAAAACCCUGGUCUCCAGGGCAUGACGGUACGGCAGGAAUAAGCACCGGCUAACUCCGUGCCAGCAGCCGCGGUAAUACGGAGGGUGCAAGCGUUGUCCGGAAUUACUGGGUGUAAAGGGUGCGCAGGCGGGGUAGCAAGUCAGAGGUGAAAGCCCACGGCUCAACCGUG